rnacentral:lncRNA from 1 species
AGACUGGCUUCAGACUUCAGCUGCAACAUCAGCUCUUCCUUGGAUUUCCAGCCUACCUAACUACUCUGCAGAUUUUGAACUUGCCAGCCUCCACAAUCAUGCUGGGCUCCCUUCCACCUCUUCUCACUGGCCUCCUGUUUGUACCCCUGACCUCUCCGGGAUCUGGAUCCCAACACUGUCUUCUGCAAUGAAAACCCUGAUUUUCUAUAUCUGGACAAAAGACUAGGACAUAACGAGAAUUUUAGCGGAAGGAACUGAGGGAGAGAGAUUGCACAGCAGACAAGGACAAAUAAAGGGAAGGUGGAAACAAGGGU